ensembl:snRNA U2 U2 spliceosomal RNA
CUCUCUUCUCAGCCUUUUGGCUAAGAUCAGGUGAAGAGUCUUCUUCCAUUUCUCUCCUUAAUGUUUUAUAAUUUUUAUUUUAGAGAUCUUUCAUAUCCUUGGGUAAAUUUGGGCCGGCGCCGCGGCUCACUAGGCUAAUCCUCCGCCUAGCGGCGCCGGCACACCGGGU